CAGAAUAUAGCUUAAACAAAGCAUUUUGCUUACACCAAAAAAAUAUCUAAAAAUAGAUUAUUCUG
rnacentral:tRNA from 1 species